rnacentral:antisense_RNA from 1 species
GCGCCUCCUCGGAGGGCCUGGCUGCGGCCUCCGGGUAUUCAUUCUUUCCAGAAAGGCACCACAUGCGUAUUUCCGCCGUGGCCCCAGAUCCUCCCCGCACCGCCGUUUUGAGCGUUUACACUCAUUACCCCGGUCCGUCUGGGAGACCCGCCGGGCUCCUGCCCUCCUGGCCAAAAUUCUCCCGGGACACCCCACCUGGACUGCUGUGAACGGGCCUCCACCCGCCUCCCCGGACCCGCAGCACCCCCCGCUCCCUCAGCGUUCUGGGGUGAAGGGGUCUGAAUGGCACCAGGGGAGGCGGCAGGGCGGGCCUGUCCUACCUGCGCCCGAGCACUGCUGAGACAACAUCCCUUCCAGCGCCGCCACGUAGUCCAGCCCCAGCCAGUCGCGGUCCUGGAAGCACCGCAAUCAGACCUGCUUCUCACUGGGCUCAGGCAGGGUCACCCGCCCAGUGCCGCUUGCUGCAAAUUGCUUUACGUGCAGUGACCCAAAGAGCAAGCAAUUUCAGCGCCCCACGACUCUGAUUGGAAGUCCUAAGCUUGACAACUGAUUGGCCUCUGUCACCCAAGCGGGUGUGGGGACACUAGGCCCGCAGGUGCCACUGGAAGAGGCGUUCAGAAGCACUGCGGUGCUCCAGCUCCUGGAUGCAGAUAUCUCCCCACAAACCUAAACAAUUUCGAGAGGGACUUGUGUUCUGCAGCCAGUCACAGAAUAUCAGGUGAGCUGGGCGCUCCUCUCCGCCCUGCUUAGAAUCACUGGAAUGACCGUUCUGUGGCUACAGCCCUAAAAGAGCUACUAAAAAGACCAGAAGUAGUAUGAGAACUCAUGAAUACAAAUAUAAAUAAAAGACAUCUGGAGAACAUGCA